CUGGGAGUUUAAUACCUUUUCUAUUUCCCACAGGCAGGAGAAGUUGUUUUUUCCUGGCCUGGCUAACCCAUCAUUCUGGGGCAAGGACUGCUGGGUGCUCUGCUCAGGCCAAGAGGAAAUUUCAACCUGCCAAGUAACUGAGAAGGAGACAUCUACAGAGCCACUCCUGCUCCCUCAGCAGGAGACUUGCAGCAGCCUUGGUUAUCCCUGAGCGGUACCAAAGGCUUAACAAGGAUGGAGGAAGGAGAGCAUCUUUCCCACUGCAGAUCUUCCUCAUGGCCCUUCACUGGAGUCUCCUGGAAAGAACUGCCACAGUCUUUUGGAGGCAAAACAAAACUGCAAGUAAAGGAGGGAACUAGACUGUGGAAAUUGCGGUGGACAAGGAGCUGGCUUCACAUGCAAAUGCAGAAAAUUUCAGCUUCAAACCCUGGGAGACACCCAUCUAGGAGAGAGGACAUCCUUUGACAUCAUGGUGAGAGAAUAGAAAUAAGAGUUGUCUCAUGGGAACUAAUAUGUUAACCAGUUUGUUACAGAUAAGGUGUUGCUCUUGGUUUCCAUAUAUAUGGCUGGCUGCCAACUACAUUUAUGAUUUUGUUCCUUAUCCUCAUUAUUGUUUGGAUUCUGUACCCUCCACCUCAUCUAUUACCUCUGGGCUUUCUGGGUUUUGGGGUCUUGGG
rnacentral:lncRNA from 12 species